rnacentral:rRNA from 1 species
GCAUAUCAAUAAGCGGAGGAAAAGAAAAUAACAAUGAUUCCCCUAGUAACUGCGAGUGAAGAGGGACAAGCUCAAAUUUUAAAUCUGUCGGGUUCUACCUGACCGAGUUGUAAUUUGAAGAGGCGUUUUCUGUGUUUCUGAUCAGUCCAAGUCCUUUGGGAUAAGGCAUCACGGAGGGUGAGAAUCCCGUUCGGUUGAUCAGAUUCGCUUUACGAUACGUCAUCAAAGAGUCAAGUUGUUUGGGAUUGCAGCUUAAAAUGGGAGGUAAAUUUCUCCUAAGGCUAAAUAACGGCGAGAGACCGAUAGCGAACAAGUACCGUGAGGGAAAGAUGAAAAGAACUUUGAAAAGAGAGUUAAAUAGUACGUGAAAUUGUUGAAAGGGAAACGAUUGAAGCCAGUCGUACCUGCGGGUAAUCAGCCUUUUGGGCAUGAUUCUGUGGAGCGUGAGGAGUUAAACGCCUUCAUGCCUGCAUAUUCGUGUACUUUGGGUGUACUUGCCUGUGUGGUUAGUUAACAUCAAUUUUGGUUAUCAUAAAAUGGUUGGAGGAAUGUAGCUUCGAUUUCGAUUGAAGUGUUAUAGACUUCGGCAGAUGUGAUGAUCGGGAUUGAGGAUUGCAACGGAUACCCUUCGGGGCUACCUGUCUGAUCUCUGAUCGUUGCUCUGGUGCCGAAAGCGUGCUUACGGUUAUCAAAGUCGAUGGUCAAUAGGUUAGAAUGAGUUAAAUUCGUUAAAGGAUGUUGACGUA